UAGCGAGCCACCUCCCACCCGUGUUUACUGUACCUUAGUUGCUUCGGCGGGCCCGCCAUUCAUGGCCGCCGGGGGCUCUCAGCCCCGGGCCCGCGCCCGCCGGAGACACCACGAACUCUGUCUGAUCUAGUGAAGUCUGAGUUGAUUGUAUCGCAAUCAGUUAAAACUUUCAACAAUGGAUCUCUUGGUUCCGGCAUCGAUGAAGAACGCAGCGAAAUGCGAUAACUAGUGUGAAUUGCAGAAUUCCGUGAAUCAUCGAGUCUUUGAACGCACAUUGCGCCCCCUGGUAUUCCGGGGGGCAUGCCUGUCCGAGCGUCAUUGCUGCCCAUCAAGCACGGCUUGUGUGUUGGGUCGUCGUCCCCUCUCCGGGGGAGACGGGCCACAAAGGCAGCGGCGGCACCGCGUCCGAUCCUCGAGCGUAUGGGGCUUUGUCACCCGCUCUGUAGGCCCGGCCGGCGCUUGCCGAACGCAAAUCAAUCUUUUUCCAGGUUGACCUCGGAUCAGGUAGGGAUACCCGCUGAACUUAAG
rnacentral:rRNA from 1 species